ACCGGCAGCUCAAGUGGUGGCCAUUAUUAUUGGGCCUAAAGCGUUCGUAGCCGGUUUGAUAAGUCUCUGGUGAAAUCCCGCAGCUUAACUGUGGGACUUGCUGGAGAUACUAUCAGACUUGAGGUCGGGAGAGGUUAGGGGUACUCCCAGGGUAGGGGUGAAAUGCGUAGAUAUAUGGAAGAACACCAGUGGCGAAGGCGGCUGUCUGGUCUGUAACUGACGCUGAGGCUCGAAAGCAUGGGUAGCAAACAG
rnacentral:rRNA from 1 species